rnacentral:rRNA from 1 species
UACGAAGGGGGCUAGCGUUGCUCGGAAUGACUGGGCGUAAAGGGCGCGUAGGCGGUUUGGUUAGUUAGGCAUGAAAUUCCUGGGCUCAACCUGGGGGCUGCGCUUAAUACAGCCAGACUAGAGUGUGAAAGAGGGUCGUGGAAUUCCCAGUGUAGAGGUGAAAUUCGUAGAUAUUGGGAAGAACACCGGUGGCGAAGGCGGCGACCUGGUUCAUUACUGACGCUGAGGCGCGAAAGCGUGGGGAGCAAACAGG